rnacentral:rRNA from 1 species
CCUACGGGGUGCUGCAGUGAGGAAUAUUGGUCAAUGGGCGCGAGCCUGAACCAGCCAAGUAGCGUGAAGGAUGACUGCCCUACGGGUUGUAAACUUCUUUUAUAAAGGAAUAAAGUGAGGCACGUGUGCCUUUUUGUAUGUACUUUAUGAAUAAGGAUCGGCUAACUCCGUGCCAGCAGCCGCGGUAAUACGGAGGAUCCGAGCGUGAUCCGGAUUUAUUGGGUGUAAAGGGAGCGUAGAUGGGUUGUUAAGUCAGUUGUGAAAGUUUGCGGCUCAACCGUAAAAUUGCAAUUGAUACUGGCAGCCUUGAGUACAGUUGAGGUAGGCGGAAUUCGUGGUGUAGCGGUGAAAUGCUUAGAUAUCACGAAGAACCCCGAUUGCGAAGGCAGCUUACUAAACUGUGACUGACAUUGAUGCUCGAAAGUGUGGGUAUCAAACAGGAUUAGAUACCCCAGUAGUC